rnacentral:misc_RNA from 1 species
GUGAAUUAAACAUUGCUUGGUGUCUUCGCUUCGGCAAGGCCCUUGCUUAAAAAUCACAUCCUAACACCUGUGAACUGUAAGACGUAUGAUGAGGUCUUUGGCCAAGUCAUCGUCUGCCCAUUUUAUUUAUAACAAACAAUUAAUGUAACAUACAAACGUAGUCUUAUUAUAACCUAAUUA